AAAAAAAAAAAAAAUUUAGCUGACCUAAUCAGAUUUACAUUUUAAACAUAUAAUUGUCUAUACGGCGGGGAGACUGGCUUGGAAUAAGGCAAUAGUGAAUGGGGCUGACCAGCAAGGAGGUUUUGCCAUCAACCAGGUCUAGUUCUCAGCUCAGAGCAGCCUUCUCUGCCAUUACUCCUGUUACCAUCCCCAUACUCACAGAAGCUAAGGAAGCUGUACAAGCCAGACACAAGUAUUUGGGUGAAGUGACAGAGGUGGAGGGAGAGGAGAUUGACCUAGUUACCCUGUGAUGCUUUCAUCAGCUCCUAAGAGAAGGAGAAUAGAGACAAAGGUAGAAUAGAUGGCUUGAGGUGCAUGGACGGAUAAUUUGGAGGAAUGAAAAUAGUACUGAUUAUGACUGAAUAAAAGAUGCUGAACAGCAUCCCACUUUUGGGUAUGUGUCUAACGAAUUGAAAGCAAUGAAUUGAAUUGAAUUGAAAGCAAUGAAUUGAAUUGAAUUGAAAGCAAUGAAUUGAAUUGAAUUGAAAGCAAUGAACUGAAUUGAAAUUGAAAGCAAAGAAUUGAAUUGAAGAGCUAUUUGCACACUCACGUUCAUAGCAGCAUUAUGUACGGUAGUCAUGAAAACAGACCAAAUGUCCACUGACAGAUGAAUGAACUAAAUGUGAUAUAUACAAGCAACGAAAUAUCAUUCAGUCUGAAAAAGGAAGGAGAUUCUGACACAUGCUACCCAUGGAGAAAAGUUGACGUUAUGCUGAGUGAAAUAAAUCAGUCAGACAAACACGGUAGGAUUCCACAUAUAGGAGGUAUCUAAAGUAGUCAAAUUCACAGGAACAGAGAGUAGUGGUUUCUGAGGGCUGGAGGAAGAGGGGAAUGUAGAGUUAUUGUUUAAUGGAUAUAGCAUUUCAAUGUUCUAAGAUGAGAAAGUUCUAGAAAUCUGUUGCACAAUAAUGAAUAUGCAAACAUUUAUGAACUGUACAUUGGAAAAUGGUUAAGAUUCUAAAUUUUAUGUUAUGUAUAUUUUAAAACAAAAAAGAUGCCAAACAGAAUACGUAGUCUAGGAGAGGAUGGCAAGAGAAAUUUGUGGUAGCCAUGGAGCAAGGUUUUAUUUUCUCAAUAGUAUAAAUGCUACAACAAGGAAAAUUGUCAGCUGGAUUUCGAGUGUGGUGGCAGGGGGCUAGGGAAAGGCGUUGUCUGGAUGAAUAGAGAAUAUCUUGAGGAUGAGGGAAUGGAGUUUGUGGGUUGCAAGUCGGCUAAAACAACAAAGUGGGAAGAUCCAGAAUGUAUAAAUGUUAGAUCAGGAACUCCAGAAACCUUAACUAACUGCAAUUAAAAUUAAAAACAAAAAAUGAAAAAAACUCUAAGAGUUCAUUGACUCUAAGAAAAAAAAAAUCCUGAAAAGCAAAUGUUUUUGUUAAAAGAUAAAAUUUAUUUGAGUAACCACUGUACACAUUAUUAAAGGACACAGAGCUUUGACAAAACUGCCAAGGAAAUAUCCAGAGCCUGAAUUGUACACCAAAACCUUACAGUGAAAACUUGACUCUUAUAAGGAAAAAAAAAAUGUGCAAAUUGGAAUUACUGAGUGAUUAUGGAAAGGCAAAGUAUACAUUGUGGAAAAAGAACAACAA